GAUGAACGCUGGCGGCGUGCCUAAUACAUGCAAGUCGAGCGAACGGACGAGAAGCUUGCUUCUCUGAUGUUAGCGGCGGACGGGUGAGUAACACGUGGAUAACCUACCUAUAAGACUGGGAUAACUUCGGGAAACCGGAGCUAAUACCGGAUAAUAUUUUGAACCGCAUGGUUCAAAAGUAAAAGACGGUCUUGCUGUCACUUAUAGAUGGAUCCGCGCUGCAUUAGCUAGUUGGUAAGGUAACGGCUUACCAAGGCAACGAUGCAUAGCCGACCUGAGAGAGGGAGCAGCAACAAGUGCGCGUAGAGAGGGAACAGACGAAGACGGGAGGCAGCAGGCGGGGUUGGGGCGCAAUGGGCGAAAGCGUGAAGGAGGAACGUAGCGGGAAUGAUGAAGGGCGUAGGUACGGAAAAAGCUGGUAUGAGACAAGAACCAAUGUGUAAGGAAAGACGACGGGCUGGAAGGUACAGAAUCAGAAGGCCACGGCUAAGUAAGUC
rnacentral:rRNA from 1 species